CCUGCAGUUUGGGCUGUCUCUGUGGCUGGUUCUGCGGCGUGCGGCCAGCCAUGGAGCGCUCUGGGCCCAGCGAAGUGACAGGCUCAGACGCAUCGGGACCGGACCCGCAGCUUGCGGUCACCAUGGGCUUCACGGGGUUCGGUAAAAAAGCUCGCACAUUUGACUUGGAAGCAAUGUUUGAACAAACUCGAAGAACAGCUGUGGAAAGAAGUUGCAAAACACUGGGCUUCCAGCUCUUCCAGGCUGCAUGUCCCACUCAAUAUCCUGUUUCAACCCAAUGGAAAUGGAUUGAAAGAGUGAAAGUCACUGGUCUCAAAGAAUCUACGGAAUUUAGCAUUUUGAAAAUCACAUAGCAAUUUUGGGUAGGUAUUCACCUGCACUAAAAAACCAGGCAAACAUCCGACUCCCAGGAUAAAGUGACUGAGAGCAGUAGAAGACUUGUUGAGCCUUAAGGAAUAAGAGGAAAAUUACGUUAUGAAGUGCAGGAACAGCACAGACCCAGACGAGGGGACGCAGCCCGGAGCCAGUAACCCGGCGCCACCUCCUCCCCAGGGCGCAGCGCUGGCUGAUCCCCAGAUACCGUGAUCACACGUCCCGGGUCCUGAGAGCGCCUCAUAGGUAGACAGUUCUUUGGGACUUCUGGGAUGCAGCACUUGAAGAGAGGUUUACCUAAACUUUCCUCCUGGGAGCCUGUGAUCAUUUGAAAGUAACAGAAGAAAGUUGUCAGGCUGAGGAAAGUUUCAACAGGCACUUGGUGAGAAUGGGAAGCAUCCAUUCAUUGUGAAAUCGCGGGGACAGAGGAGGAAUUCACGGGAUCAGAGCACUGAGAAACUCCAGAGGCUUCUGGUUCACCGCCCGGCUGGUGAAUUACCAGAUCUCCGUCAAGUGCAGUAACCAGUUCAAGUUGGAAGUGUGUCUUUUGAAAUCAGAAAACAAAGUCGUGGACAACCAGGCUGGGACCCAGGGCCAGCUGAAGGUGCUGGGUGCCAACCUCUGGUGGCCGUACCUGAUGCACGAACACCCCGCCUACCUGUACUCGUGGGAGGAUGGUGAUUGCUCACACCAAAGCCUUGGACCCCUCCCAGCCUGUGACCUUUGUGCGCAACUACGGGCACCUGGAGUUGAUUCAGCUGCAGCUGGCCGCCCAGUUUGAGAACUGGUGUAAGACAUCACAAUCCCAUUAUUCAGAGCGUGUAUGGAGUGGAAACGCUUGUAGGGUUUCACCA
rnacentral:lncRNA from 10 species